ensembl:lncRNA
AUCUCCCCGGAUGCGGGCAGCACCGAGACGGAAGCGCGGCAGGACGGGAGCGGUGCUGAGGACAGCGGCGCCGGAGGCCCCGAUGAUGACCCAGGCAUGAAAGAGCCCAGAGCUCGUCGCUGGGGAGAGGCUGCGUAUGGCGUUGUGAAGGGAGAGGUGGAGGAGGGCUUUGAGCAGCGCUGUGCAGGAAUGAAUGGCUGGCAGGAGCCGGGCAGCGGUACUGCAGCUCGUCUGGCAGCUUUGCAGCUCAGUUGGGAAGUAGAAGAUGUGGCUGUGAAAGAAGAAGUCAGUUGCUGGGACGUCCCCCUGUUCUUCCCCUAGCUGUCCCCUUGCCUCAGCCAGGAUUCCCCUUGCAUUCCUGUAGGAUUCCCUUCCAUCCUCCUGGUUGUCCCUUGCUUUCCCCAAGGUUGCUCUUUCCUUUCCCAUGACAGCCCACCCAUCAUUCUCUCAAAGCCCCAAUAUCCACCCCAGUGUUUCCCCAGCAAGACCCCUAGAGACGCCCUGUAGCCCCCCACAGAGCACCAUACACCCUCUAGGACCUCCUCAGACCCGGUACACCUCCCCUGUAGCUGGCCCAUACGCACACGGAGCCCCACAGUCCCCAGCAUCACCCCAUGUAACCCACUGGCCUCCUGCAGGACCCCCGUGUUUCCUCUAUUUCCUCCUUCUGACCUCCUUUCCCACCUCCAAGACCCCAACCCCGGGAUCUCACCGAUUCCCACAGUCCCUGACAGGACCCCUGUCACCAUCCCAGGAACCCCAUAGCCCACCUGAGGGCCCUCCUCAACCCCAUCCCCAUCAAGCUCUUGUACAGCCAUAGGGUGCUGGGGCAGGGGUGGCUGCUGCAGGAGAGGAAUGCGGGGCUGGAGCAGGUGCAGGGCACAGCUGUGGGUGAAAGGGAUGUGAGGGGCACUGUGGGUCCAGGAACGUAGGGGUUGUGGGGGCACGUGGGGAGCGGUUUGGGGUGAGAAUGGAGGAUGUGCGGUGGUGUUGGAGUGCACUGGUUGAUUUCUUCCUGGGAGGGGAUUGGGGUUCCCUUUGGCCCAAAGGUGGAGCCCUGAUCCAUAACCCCACGUGAGCCCAGAACCCCAUAUAACUCUGCAUGAGCCCAAGGCUCCACAUGACCCCUAACCGUGUGAGCACCGUAAGCCCAUAUGAGGCUGAGGGCAGUGGUGGGUCUGUUACUGGCUAGGUCAGGAAGUACUCUAGGGUGGCUCUGGGGCCGCUGUAGAAUAGCACUCUACAUCUGCCCCUGACCCUCAUCUUGGGGGGUAAGAUGGGGGUGCAGGGGUUAGUGGAGGGCUAAGGAAGAGAUUCCAUGAGUAUGAACCAUAGCAGCCCCAGAGCCAUCCUAGAGCAGCGCCAUCACUGCCCACGGCCCAUGGCCAGCAGCAGUUCCACCACAAGCUGUGUGUUGGGUCAAGGCAGCUCCUAGGUGUUGCUCUGCUUCAUAGCUGCCCCAAAGUGCUCCUGUCGCCCUCCCAUAGGUGUCCUUUAACUGCCCCACCACCCUGUAAGGCUUCCCCACGUCCUAGCACAUCCCCCCACGUGCGUGCAGGGUGUGCAAGAAACGCUCUCAUCCCUGAUUUUCCAUCAGGCACAGCUCUUUGUGCAGCAGCAAAGCUCCUUCCUGAUUGCUGUGGCGUUACUUCACUCUCCUCAGUGAGUUCCUUCUGCUCCCGUUGGGUUGGUUGAGUUGGGUUUGUUGGGAUGAGGUGGGGGCAGGGAUCCCAGAGUUCUGGGGCCACAUGGCAUCGGGUCGCAGCGUGUUGGGGGAAGGAAGGGUCAGGGAGUUACAGGGUCUUGUGGGGGUGUGGUUCACCCAGGGCUGUGGGUCACAUAUAGCCAUGGUGUCAUGCACAUACAGGGUGAUGAGAUCAUCUUGGCUUAAGGCUCAUGUGGGGUUACGGCUCAGGGCCCCACCUUUGGGCUGCAUGGACCCCCAGUCCCCUCUCAGGAAGAAAUGAAACCCCUCCUACACCGCUGCCCCCUUCCUCCUUUUUUUUUUUUUUACCUCAAACUGCUCCCCACAUCCUCCCAUAGCACCCCAUACUCCUGCGUCCCUCUUGCAGCCCACAUCUUGUCUUCUCCUGAACAGCAUUCUGCUCCUGCAGGCUGUGUUGUCAUAUCCAUUCUAUAUCCCCCACAACCUCCCCCACAUAGCUCCUCAAGUACUUUCUCUGACCCGGUACACCUCCCCCUCCUCCAACCUGGGACCUCGCAGAGCCCCACAGUCCCCAGCAUCACCCCACGUCCCCCACAGUUCUUCAAGGAUCCCUCCGAUUUGAGGGAGGCUCAGACCUCCCUUUAUGCCUCAGACCCCUCCUGUGUUCUCCGACUCCCACAGUCCCUGACAGGACCCCCAUCACCAUCCCAGGACCCCCAUAGCCCACUGAUGAGGAACCUCGCAGCAAUCCACAUCUCAGGAUGGGGCUCCAGCUGUGCCCCAAUGCCUUCAUUAAAGACAGGAGAAUGAAUGAGCGUAACGGGGCACCUUUCCUCCUGACAUUACCAACUGCCUGCGUGUUGGCUGUGCCACGUGAGCGGCAUUUUGUCCUCGAGCUGUGAGUGCAGACGGAGGCCCUGAGAACAACCAGAGCCGUGUCUGCGUUCACCAAGGACUCACCUCUGCACGUGCAGCGGCAGCUCUGAGGGCAGCCUUCAUCGAUUCCCCUCUCCUCUCUUUCUCUUGGCGUCUUCUCGCUAGAAAGCAAGAAUAAACAUGAAUGCGUUUUGUCAGC